AUCAACGCUGGCGGCGUGCCUAACACAUGCAAGUCGCACGAGAAAGUAGGAGGCAAUCCAUGAGUAAAGUGGCGUCACGGGUGAGUAACACGUGGAAUCAUCUACCUCCUAGUGGGGAAUACCUAUGAGAAAUCUGGGACUAAUACCGCAUAAGCUACGUACGAGGCAAAGCAGCAAUGCGCUUGGAAGAGGAGUUCGCGGCCUGAUUAGCUAGUUGGCUGGGUAAUGGCCCACCAAGGCGAAUGAUCGGUAGCCGGCCUGAGAGGGCGCACGGACACACUGGAACUGAAACACGGGCCAGACUCCUACGGGAGGCAGCAGUGGGGAAUCUUUGCACAAUGGAGGAAACUCCUGACUGCAGCGACGCCGCGUGAGGAUGAAGCCCUUGGGGAUGUAAAGCUCCUUUCGAUGGGGAAGAUUAAUGACGGUACCCAGGAGAAGAAGCCUGCGGCUAACUUACGUGCCAGCAGCCGCGGUAAUACGUAGGGGGCAAGCGUUGUUCGGAAUUAUUGGGCGUAAAGAGUGCUGUAGGCGGUGUUGACAAGUCUGUAUGUGAAAUCUAUGGGCUCAACCUGGAGGUCUGCGGCGGAAACUGGCAUGCUUGAGGAUGGGAGAGGUAAGUGGAAUUCCUGGUGUAGCGGUGAAAUGCGUAGAUAUCAGGAGGAACACCUGUGGCGUAGACAGCUCUACUGGACCAUUACUGACGCUGAGACACGAAAGCGUGGGUAGCAAACAGGAUUAGAUACCCUGGUAGUCCACGCCCUAAACGAUGCAUUACUUGGAUGUGCAGUACCAUCAUCCUGGUCCGUGUCGGAAGCUAACGCGAUAAGCUAUGCCGCCUGGGGAGUACGGUCGCAAGGCUGAAACUCAAAGGAAUUGACGGGGGCCCGCACAAGCGGUGGAGCAUGUGGUUUAAUUCGACGCAACGCGAAGAACCUUACCUGGGCUCGAACGGCCUAGGAUCCGAUUGCAGAACAUACGGCGUCUACGCAAUAGGACCUGAAUGUAGAGGUGCUGCAUGGCUGUCGUCAGCUCGUGUCGUGAGAUGUUGGGUUAAGUCCCGCAACGAGCGCAACCCUGAUCUCCAUGUGUGCCAUCAUUUAGUUGAGGCACUCUCAGGCGAACCGCCAGCGGAUAACGUGGAGGAAGGUGGGGAUGACUGUCAAGUCCUCAUGGCCUUUAUGUCCAGGGCUACACACGUGCUACAAUGGCCGGUACAAACCGCUGCAAACCCGCGAGGGGGGAGCUAAUCGGAAAAAGCCGUCCUCAGCUUCGGAUUGGCAGGCUGCAACUCGACUGCCGUGAAGCUGGAAUCGCUAGUAAUGCGCAGUAUCAGAAUGACGCCGGUGAAUACGUUCCCGGGCCUUGUACACACCGCCCGUCACAUCACUGGAAGUGGGUUGCAACUAGAAGUCGGUAGCUCUAACCUUCAGGGAGGCAGCCUUACCAAUGUGUAUUCAUGAUUGGGGUG
rnacentral:rRNA from 1 species